rnacentral:tRNA from 1 species
GCAGUUUGUAAGCGAUGGAAUGGGUUAAGUAAUGAAGGGAUUUGAUCCGUGAACUGCCCUCCGAAGGCAGAGGUCACAGGUUCGAAUCCUGUCGGGUGCGCCA